rnacentral:lncRNA from 1 species
CUUGUUUUAAACUUAUUAAUUAAUCUGUCUUUUUUUGGCAUUCUAUUACUUCUCCAAAUCUUGUAAACUUGUAAUAGCGAGGUUAAAGACCAAAGACUGAAUUGGAGAUUAAAAACUGAAGAUGUUAAAUUAGACAUUCAGACAAAAUUGGAAAGUAUUUAAUAACAAAAUGGAAAGACCGAACAUCAAAAAAGUUCAAUUCUGGUUAAAGAACUUUUAGGCAUUGUGAGCAGAUGAGGGCAGUAGAUUUUUAUAAACCGUACUUGUGUUGGGAUGAGUUAGAGCGUGAAGUUCAACCUGACAAUGAUGGUUGUAUAGAAAGACUUAAAAAUAAGAUUUCUUGUUCGAGUUCUCAAUAUUUGGAAUUUAAUCCAGACUUAAAAGUUUUAAAUGGAUGUUUUUUUUUAAAAAAGAGGUUAUUAUUUCAAAACACAAGAUGUACAGUAUGUUUAGAAGAUUUUAUUAUUAAAGAAAAAGUUGUUUUGCUUUUUUGUAGACACUGCUAUCAUAAAGAAUGUAUAGAAAAGUGGUUUCUUGAGAAGAAUGAUUGUCCUUUAUGUAAAGUUUAUAUUAGAAAUGGAUUACUUAUUAAUGAAAGAACUCCUUUAAUUCAAAGUGCUUAACUGUUACAUUUUUAAACAGUUGU